UACGGAGGAUUCGAGCGUUAUCCGGAUUUAUUGGGUUUAAAGGGGGCGCAGGCGGGUUGAUAAGGCAGUGGUGAAAGGUUUACGCUUAACGUAGACAUUGCCAUUGAAACUGUCGAUCUUGAGUACAAAUGAGGUAGGCGGAAUGUGUUGUGUAGCGGUGAAAUGCAUAGAUAUGACACAGAACACCGAUUGCGAAGGCAGCUUACUGGGAUGUAACUGACGCUCAGGCAAGAAAGCGUGGGGAUCAAACAGG
rnacentral:rRNA from 1 species